rnacentral:lncRNA from 1 species
AUCGGUGUGUUUCUGAUUUCUUGAUACAAAAGAGAAAUAAAAAUAGAAAAAUUUUGUAGACUAACCUGAAAGAUGCUGAGUAAGGUUUGAGGCUAUUUUGACCAGAAGAAAAUAUAUUCGUAUCAGUCCAGUUUUGAAGUUUUAUUAGUAGUGGCAAAUUGACAGGGUGAUACUUUCCUGUAAUCCUUGAUGGCCUCAGUUUUGGAAGGUUUAUCUUAACUCAAGUCCAAACCUCACCAAACCUGCCAUCUAAUAUUGACUCCAAGGACCAUUUAAAUACUCUGCUCUAUUUCAAGCAGUGCUUCUCACUCCGGUCCUCAGGAGGCUCUUAGGAGAAAUGUGUACCUUUGGGCAUUUAGGGACAAAGACUUGAAGUCUCAAGUAUUUAUGUGGUUUUAUUUUCCUUGCAUUUCACAAUAGAUGUACGUGUUCCCAUCAAUAGUACAUUAAAGUGUCGCUGAUCAGAUUCGGCACUUGGAAAGAGCAUGUCGGUUUUCUGGCUUCAUACUCCCAACAUCCAAAAACUGUGUUAAAUGACAGAUUUUCAUCUAGUUUCUUCAACAAGAUGUUAGCUAGUUCUUAUGGCCAAGAAGUUAGUCAAGUAACGCUUCCUUUGCAGUGUUUUGAUUCAAAGGGUUCACAGUUGUGUCAAUAGUAUUGAUGAGCAGACACCCUGAUGUGUCAGCUUACAUAUCAGGAGAGGCAGGCUAAAGAUGAAGGGGAUUCCCAGGUUGUCAGUGUUCUCAAACGAACAAACGUGGCACUACAUUUAAAAACGUGUGUCUUUGAAGGAGCAAAUGCCGGAAAGAUGUGAAUAAAUUCAAGCAUUGUAACACUUGAACUGGAAGAGUACCAAUAUUCGUUCAUUUCUUUCAACAAACUUCAGGAAAGAAUCUCUAAAUUUUGUAUCACCUCACUAAUCAUAAAAUGCACACAUUUGUAACUUUGUUCUAGAUCCACAAAGUCAAAAUAGUGAAGGCUGGCAUAGCAGAAACUCAUUGCCAAGGCCCUGCCACUAACUUUUGGUACUUGACUGUGGAGCAAGUUAAUAUUAUGGGACAGAAUGCUACAAAAAAGAAACAGCCAAGUAUUUUUUAAAAAGUGAUACUCUUUUAGUUUAUCAGUGAAACGGUCAAAUGUGUGAAAAAAAUGAAAUUACCUUUUGAAAAAAAAAUGUAUCUCCAUGGUGACUUUGUUACCUUCAAAAGUAUAUAUGUCAUUUCAAUGU